UGCAUCGGCCGGGAAUCGAACCCUGGCCGGCGAGCAUUCUACCACUGAACCACCGAUGC
rnacentral:tRNA from 1 species